CUCAAAGGAAUCGACGGGCACCCGCACAAGCGGUGGAGCAUGCUGUUUAAUUCGACAAUACGCGAAGAACCUUACCUAGACUUGACAUCCUUGGCGAAGUCAUAGAGAUAUGAUAGAGGUUAACCGAGUGACAGGUGGUGCAUGGUUGUCGUCAGCUCGUGUCGUGAGAUGUUUGGUUAAGUCCAACAACGAGCGCAACCCUCGUCUUUAGUUGCUAACAGUAAGAUGAGCACUCUAAAGAUACAGCCGGUGUAAGCCGGAGGAAGGUGGGGAUGACGUCAAAUCAUCAUGCCCCUUAUGUCUAGGGCUACAGGCGUGCUACAAUGGCCAGUACAACGAGUCGCGACACAGCGAUGUGAAGCAAAUCUCUUAAAGCUGGUCCCAGUUCGGAUUGGAGUCUGCAACUCGACUCCAUGAAGUUGGAAUCGCUAGUAAUCCCGAAUCAGAAUGUCGGGGUGAAUACGUUCCCGGGUGUUGUACACACCGCCCGUCAUGCCAUGGGAGUCUGUAAUACUUGAAGUCGGUAGCCUAACCCGUAAGGGAGG
rnacentral:rRNA from 1 species